CAAUCUUUCAAUGGUUGAGGAUUUUAGAGUAGGGUUGGGGGUGAAAAUUUCUGAUUUUUAUAGUCAUUUAAAAUGUUUUUGAUUUUUAUAGUCACUUAGACUGUUACAAUUAUAUUUGGGGUUUCAUUUGGGGUCGUAGUUAGGACCAUUUGGUCAUUUCGAGUUUAUAUUUUUGAUUACAUAACUUAAGAACUGAUGUGAAAGCGCGAAAUCACUUCUCAAAAACUUGGUCAUAUGAGCGAAUGGCUCAAGAAAUUAUUGCGAAAAGGUUGAUGAAGAUGAGGAAAAGGAUUGCGAUGAGAAACUUUUGUCCAGUUUGGACGACAGUCAUAUUUUUCUGAGGAGGGAGUAUUGUGGUACCCCUCAUGCCGAAUGGCAGUGAAAAUAUUCCACAAUUUGGUGAAUCGCUGAAUUUCCAAAUAUUCGGAAUCAAAUAUCAUGGAAAUAUAUCGUCCACGAAAUCGCUAUCGAGGUUGGACGGAUGUGAAGUGCAAAUGCACUCACAUCAAUUUGCUGAUAAUGCAAAAUAGACGAAUUGUGGAAUAUCAAUCGUACCGAACGGUCGAUUGCAAUGAACAUAAAAAAAUCAGAAUUAUUUUGUACGUCGACUUGAAAGGUUUGGAGAAUUAAGAGAAGUGUUUUUAUCCAUCGGCUGGAAAGGUCUAAGUAAUUGAGAGAAUUGUUAUGAACAAUAGUGUUCGAAAGGUGAUUUCGCGUC